CGCGGGUCUUUGAGACACUGGCCAGCGCCAUUCUGGCUUUGGCAACAUCAAGAGUGACGAAAACAGAGUGGCCGGAGUUCCUGGCCCCCACGCAGUGUGGACAGAGCUACUCUGCUCCUCCACAGCCCACAGGGGACUGGAGCACGGGCCCAGAUGUGGAGGACCCACUCUUAUGAAUUCACCAGAGACGUCACAGCAAUAUGGCCAUCAUCUGUCAACCAGGAAGCAGCCUCACAUGCCAGGCAAGCACUUUACUCUGGAGCUAUACCCCCAGCCCA
rnacentral:lncRNA from 1 species